CUGCCGGGACCCUCGGGCGGGGCCGGGCUGAGCCCCCGGGGCUGCCGGGACCCUCGGGCGGGGCCGGGCUGAGCCCCCGGGGCUGCCGGGACCCUCGGGCGGGGCCGGGCUGAGCCCCCGGGGCUGCCGGGACCCUCGGGCGGGGCCGGGCUGAGCCCCCGGGGCUGCCGGGACCCUCGGGCGGGGCCGGGCUGAGCCCCCGGGGCUGCCGGGACCCUCGGGCGGGGCCGGGCUGAGCCCCCGGGGCUGGCGGGACCCUCGGGCGGGGCCGGACGGAGCCCCCGGGGAUGCCGGGACCCUCCCAGGGCGCUUCGCGACGGGGGAUGUGGAGUGAGGGAUAACGGGAAUCAGGAAGUGCUUCCACGGACCCGCGCCCGGUUCCGUGGCUGUGCCGAGGUUUGAACCGGGAAAGAGCCGCUGUCCUGCGGUGAGGACGGGGGGAAAUGGCCUUACAGUGAGAGUGGGGAGAUUCGGAUUAGAGAUUAGGAAAAAAUUGGGUGGCCCCGCAUUGGAACAGGUUGCCCAGGGAGGUGGGGGAGUCGCCGUUGCUGCAGGUGUUCAAGAAGUGUCCGGAUCUGGCGCUGGGUGACAGUUUAGGAGAUACAGGGGCAGUGUUUGGGAAUAGUUGGACUAUGAUGCCAAAAGACAUCAAAAAACUGUCAAAUAACUGCUCGGAGACUUUUAUGUUUUAAAACAGCAAGAUAUUUGUUUAUUCAACGUUGGGAACAAGCCAGCUUGUGCUUAAUUACACUUAAUUAAUUAAUUACUCGCAAUUUGCACUCUUUUGAUUAUGGUACUUAAUUUAUACCACAGCCAUAAAUUGAGUAAUGAUAACAAAAAAAAGGCUGGACCUUUUCCAGCUGCAGGUGCCAUCCAGCCUGCCUUUGGCAAAGGAGGAGCACUGAGGUUGAGUUGGGGAGGUAGGGAGGAGGUGCUGGGGUCUCCCUUACUUUCAGAAACACCCCAUAACUUUUUUUCUCGCUCCCCCAGGUACGGCACACGGUGAUGGCAGCAGCCUCCAACUGGGGUCGGAGCCAGUGGCCCAAGAACCUCUCAGCUCAGGGGAGGCGACCGAGUCAGGGAUCACAGGACCCUCUGAGCCAGCCAGGUGUCCUUCCUUCACAUCGAAGAUGGAUUCACAUCCCCAGCUGUGGGAAAGAUAAGUGGAGGACUCCCACCUGGAGAGGGGAUGAGAGCUGGGUCCAGUUUUAUGUUUAGGAGGGAGGGAUUUUCAGAUGAGCACACGGGAAAGGGUCUGCCCUAACAGGCCCUUGGCACACAUAGGAGGAGCAGUUUACUUUUCAUCAUGGAGUAGGAUGUGCAGGGCAGAGCAGUUCAGGUCUGUGUCAUGUCCUUUGUCCGGUCUGUGUUUCGUGUCUUACACUUCACAGUCAUCACAUCUUUGGUUUCUGCCUUCAAAGGCCUGUCUGCCCUCCACGGUCUUAUCUGAGAUGCCAAGGCAUCAUUCCUAGGGUCUGGAACCUCUGCACUGCCCAGCCCAGUGCCCAUACCAUCCGUUCUUUGGCUCACUAGCUUGGACAUGCAUCGGAAUCGCAUCUGAGAAGUGUCAGGUCAGGUGUCUUUUACAACCUCCUUACAGGUUGUAUCGGUGGCUGUGCCGUGCAGUCAUCCCUUGUCAUCCCACCUGGGAUUUCUGAGAGUUUAAGAAGAUUCUGAACAUAGCCUUGUCUCCCAUCCAUCUUAGCCUUUUUGUAGGCAGUUCUUGUCCCAGGCCAUUCUGUUAGAGUGUGUUUUCAGGCUCCUCAGAGCCUCCUCCGUUCAGUCUCGCCGUAUCCUCCGUCUUCUCGUGCGGCAGCACAUCCAUUUUGGCGUCGUUCCUUUCUCAGAGUUCUCUCUCCUGGUUGCACCACAGCACUUGUCUGGAAAUGUGUCCUUGGAGUUUGUGUUGGGCCUGGAACUGCUCUGCCCUGCAGUGUAGACUUGGGGGUAGGUGGAGUAGAAAGGAGACUUCCCAGUUACCCUGUGAUAGGCUCAGGCACUGAGGGCAGGGCCUUAAAGUGAGGUCAGUGUUUGUUUGUGCAGGCUGUCUUUGGACCCCAGAGGGCUUGUCUAAAGAGAAAUUAGAAUUGCACAGCAGUUAAUGUUGCCCUGCGUAUAUGGCUGACUUUGGUACCUCAUUUCUUUGCAGUGUCAGAGGGAGUGGAUGUAAAGCAGAGAUGAACAGAGGAGGCUGGAGGAGCACAGUCAGAAGAUGCAGAGCCCUCAGCCCAGCAGAGGACAGGCACCAGGGGGAAGGUGAGCCCGGUGAGGAAGGUGAGCAGUGACUUCAGGACAAAACUAGCUGCUCUUUUGCAGGUGGUGUACUUGUGGUGAAUCUGUGUACAUACUUGUUUUUUUGUUUUACAGGCAAUGCACAGACUUCUAACGUGCAGUCCAACGUGACAGGGACCCUGCCUGUAAGAGGAGAUGUGCACAGCCUCAGAUGGCCGAAGCCAACUCACAGUGAGGUGACGGACACAGUUUGGUCCCCUUGAGCUGUCCUUGUAGAUAAUCUCCGAGUAUUGAAAGGAUCAGCAAUGAAGCACUGAGCUUUUUGGAUUGCAGGUGCCAUCCAGGUAACCUUUGGGAGCCAAUGAGCAUUGGAGGUGAGUCGGGGAGGCAGCAGGAGGAGCAGGGAUCCACUGCAGCUUUAGAGAUGCCCUCUAAUUUUGUCUCUCGCUCACUCAGGUGUCCCAGAAGAUGACAGCACAUUGUCCAAGUCUGGUCAGAGUCAGUGACACGAGGACCUGCCUCGGUGGCAGUGAGUAGAGGGAUCCUGGGGGCUGGGGCCACGUGCCACACUCCUCAGAUCUG